rnacentral:ribozyme from 1 species
CUGUCAUGUUGAGCUCUUUUUUUUUUUUUUUUUUUUUUUUU